UCUGGAGAUCCUUGUGCAUGGG
rnacentral:misc_RNA from 1 species